rnacentral:lncRNA from 1 species
UUGUAUCUUCAUUGAUGGCUACAAAGGAUCCACCGCUUGUCCAACAAAGGCCUUAGGCACUAUGUCAGCCAAUAUGCAUGAAACGGUCUCGACAACAGGGUUCUCAGCGGUUUAUCCCUCAAAAUCAGUCUCCUCAACCGCUUAUACCUCAAAAUCAGGCCCAAAAAGCAUCGCAGUGUGACCCGUUUCCUGUGAAAUAUGCGGAUUUGCUUCCCAUUUUGCUGAAGACGAACCUUGUUCAAACCCCGUCACCUCCUCAUGUGCCAAAUACGCUGCCUCCCGGGUAUCGUCCUGACCGCAAUUGUGCCUUCCAUCAAGGGGCACGAGAUCAUGACACUAAGCAGUAUUAUCCUUUGAAGGAAAAAGUUCAGAAGUUGAUUGAAGACCCAGAUAUAAAAGUGCUACUUCAACAACAACAUCUGGCUUCUCACUCUGUUGCUGCUGUUACACCCAUCACCAAUGUUCAAGAUCCGGGUUAUCAACCCCAGUUUCAACCAAGCCAACAACAAUAUCUGGCUCCUCUCUCUGUUUCUGCUGUUAUGCCCAUCAUGAACGCGGUCCAAGAUCUGGGUUAUCAGUCCCAAUCUCAACAAUAUCAACAACAACCUCGACUACAGGCUCCAAGAAUAAAAUUU